CAAGUACCGUGAGGGAAAGUUGCAAAGAACUUUGAAGAGAGAGUUCAAGAGAACGUGAAAUCCUAUCGGUUGAAGCGGAGAGAGUUGACGUAGCUCGGCGGCUAAGCUUAGUGUUGUCUUUUCGGAGGCUUCGCUUUGUGGUGUCCGCUUAUAGCUGCGCCGGUAGCGUUGUUCGAGCUUUCUGACCUGGUUAGUGUUGCCCACUUCGGUGGUGUCUUGCUGCCGGCGAGGUCUGCCGUAUUAACGUUUAAUUUGCCUUACGGCAAGUACCGGUGUGAAGGUCAGCCACCUUUCCGACCCGUCUUGAAACACGGACCGAGGAGUGUAACUUGUACGCGAGUCAGAGGGUGGAAAACCCUACGGCGCAAUGAAAGUAAAGGUCGGUUAACCGGCUGACAUGGGAUCCGUGCUUCGGCGCGGCGCACCAUGGCCCUGUCUUGAGAGCUUGCUCUUGGGCAGAGGUAGAGCGUACAGGUUGCGACCCGAAAGAUGGUGAACUAUACUUGAGCAGGACGAAGCCAGAGGAAACUCUGGUGGAAGUCCGUAUCGGUUCUGACGUGCAAAUCGAUCGAUAGACUUGAGUAUAGGGGCGAAAGACUAAUCGAACCAUCUAGUAGCUGGUUCCUUCCGA
rnacentral:rRNA from 1 species